rnacentral:rRNA from 1 species
GAUGAACGCUGGCGGCGUGCCUAAUACAUGCAAGUCGAGCGAACGGACGAGAAGCUUGCUUCUCUGAUGUUAGCGGCGGACGGGUGAGUAACACGUGGAUAAACUACCUAUAAGACUGGGAUAACUUCGGGAAACCGGAGCUAAUACCGGAUAAUAUUUUGAACCGCAUGGUUCAAAAGUGAAAGACGGUCUUGCUGUCACUAAUAGAUGGAUCCGCGCUGCAUUAGCUAGUUGGUAAGGUAACGGCUUACCAAGGCAACGAUGCAUAGCCGACCUGAGAGGGUGAUCGGCCACACUGGAACUGAGACACGGUCCAGACUCCUACGGGAGGCAGCAGUAGGGAAUCUUCCGCAAUGGGCGAAAGCCUGACGCAGCAACGCCGCGUGAGUGAUGAAGGUCUUCGGAUCGUAAAACUCUGUUAUUAGGGAAGAACAUAUGUGUAAGUAACUGUGCACAUCUUGACGGUACCUAAUCAGAAAGCCACGGCUAACUACGUG